rnacentral:rRNA from 1 species
UACGUAGGGGGCGAGCGUUGUCCGGAAUUACUGGGCGUAAAGGGCGAGUAGGCGGUUUAAUAAGUCAGAUGUGAAAUACUGAGGCUUAACCUCAGGGCUGCAUUUGAAACUAUUAGACUUGAGUGCAGGAGAGGAAAGUGGAAUUCCCAGUGUAGCGGUGAAAUGCGUAGAUAUUGGGAGGAACACCAGUGGCGAAGGCGACUUUCUGGACUGUAACUGACGCUGAGGCGCGAAAGCGUGGGGAGCAAACAGGAUUAGAUACCCCCGUAGUCC